GCUCUCGUGGCAAAGUGGUUACUGCGUCUCCUUUACAUUUCAAUCCGCGAAAUAAUCGGAGUAGAUCCCCUGUUCGAAUCUGGGCGAGAGCU